GACAGCGGCAAGGAAAUGAACACAAAGAGCAUGUUGCCAUAUGGCCACACCAUGCGGUAGAGGGUUAAACAUCUACACAAGCCCAU